rnacentral:rRNA from 1 species
GAUGAACGCUGGCGGCGUGCCUAAUACAUGCAAGUCGAGCGAACGGACGAGAAGCUUGCUUCUCUGAUGUUAGCGGCGGACGGGUGAGUAACGCGUGGAUAACCUACCUAUAAGACUGGGAUAACUUCGGGAAACCGGAGCUAAUACCGGAUAAUAUUUUGAACCGCAUGGUUCAAAAGUGAAAGACGGUCUUGCUGUCACUUAUAGAUGGAUCCGCGCUGCAUUAGCUAGUUGGUAAGGUAACGGCUUACCAAGGCAACGAUGCAUAGCCGACCUGAGAGGGUGAUCGGCCACACUGGAACUGAGACACGGUCCAGACUCCUACGGGAGGCAGCAGUAGGGAAUCUUCCGCAAUGGGCGAAAGCCUGACGGAGCAACGCCGCGUGAGUGAUGAAGGUCUUCGGAUCGUAAAACUCUGUUAUUAGGGAAGAACAUAUGUGUAAGUAACUGUGCACAUCUUGACGGUACCUAAUCAGAAAGCCACGGCUAACUACGUGCCAGCAGCCGCGGUAAUACGUAGGUGGCAAGCGUUAUCCGGAAUUAUUGGGCGUAAAGCGCGCGUAGGCGGUUUUUUAAGUCUGAUGUGAAAGCCCACGGCUCAACCGUGGAGGGUCAUUGGAAACUGGAAAACUUGAGUGCAGAAGAGGAAAGUGGAAUUCCAUGUGUAGCGGUGAAAUGCGCAGAGAUAUGGAGGAACACCAGUGGCGAAGGCGACUUUCUGGUCUGUAACUGACGCUGAUGUGCGAAAGCGUGGGGAUCAAACAGGAUUAGAUACCCUGGUAGUCCACGCCGUAAACGAUGAGUGCUAAGUGUUAGGGGGUUUCCGCCCCUUAGUGCUGCAGCUAACGCAUUAAGCACUCCGCCUGGGGAGUACGACCGCAAGGUUGAAACUCAAAGGAAUUGACGGGGACCCGCACAAGCGGUGGAGCAUGUGGUUUAAUUCGAAGCAACGCGAAGAACCUUACCAAAUCUUGACAUCCUUUGACAACUCUAGAGAUAGAGCCUUCCCCUUCGGGGGACAAAGUGACAGGUGGUGCAUGGUUGUCGUCAGCUCGUGUCGUGAGAUGUUGGGUUAAGUCCCGCAACGAGCGCAACCCUUAAGCUUAGUUGCCAUCAUUAAGUUGGGCACUCUAAGUUGACUGCCGGUGACAAACCGGAGGAAGGUGGGGAUGACGUCAAAUCAUCAUGCCCCUUAUGAUUUGGGCUACACACGUGCUACAAUGGACAAUACAAAGGGCAGCGAAACCGCGAGGUCGAGCAAAUCCCAUAAAGUUGUUCUCAGUUCGGAUUGUAGUCUGCAACUCGACUACAUGAAGCUGGAAUCGCUAGUAAUCGUAGAUCAGCAUGCUACGGUGAAUACGUUCCCGGGUCU